UUUAACUUUUCAAUAUCCAGAGGUGCUGCUACCUCCAGGGGAACCUGCAAUUGAGAAAAAUGUUCUCUGAGGAAUGCUGGUAACAAUUAUAGUCUUUCUGCUGCUCUCCCUGUGUGUGUGUGUCAGAUUCAGUUGUGUGUGUGUCAGAUUCAGUCAGAGUGAGGUUUCCUUUUAUUGGUUCGAUGUGGAUGGAGGUGAGUGAUCUGCAUCAAACCUACAAUGACUAAUGUUGAAAGCGAUAGUUGAAGAUGAAGACUAUAGAUGUAUGAUAUGGGGAAAUUAUAAAAU
rnacentral:lncRNA from 1 species